GCCCAUUUUAGUCCCUUGCUACGCAAAUGCUCGUUGACUUGUGCAAACAGUUUGGAUGCAAUGACUGAAUAACAUGUAUGUGUACAUUUAUUUUGCAACGCGAGCAGCAUGUCAGUUGUACCGCGGCUGCCAUGGCAUUUCUCUUUUCGUAUUUCCUUGUGACCUGCUAUUGACUGUCAGGCAGUGAGACAGGCUGUUGCUGAGUGAGUGGUGGGGAGGGUCGGAGGUGUGUGUGUGUUGAGAGAGCGCUAAAGUUAUUGGCUGAGUCACGGUGCAUGUACACUAGAUAGCGGUAAAUUGCCGCGUGCCGCUUAUGUGACUCGCUUGUGGGCGUGCUGGCAGCAUAUUCGAUUGUGCGUCAAUAAUUCAACAUAGCAAGUUUGUAUAAAGGUCUGGUUAUUAAAUGGGUACAUAGUUCAAUAGUAAUAUCUUCUAAAACGCUCUGGUGACAAACACACUUUGCUGCCCUGUUUCCAAUUGUCCACAUGGCUUGGAGAACCUACUCAAUUUUCUGUCCUUUGAUAAAGAGACAUACGAAGAGGUCCCAAUGAAGAGCAGUGGUUCUCAGUCCUGGUCCUGGGGACUCAAAGGGGUGCACAUUUUUGUUUUUGCCUUAGCACUGCACAGCUGAGUCAAAUUAUCAACUCAUCAAGCUUCAAGUGAAACCUUGUAACUGGAGAUUCCUCCAAAACGAUUGCCUACAGUUAACAUGUAGGGCACUGCAAGGUUGGGUGACCAGGGCCAUCUGGGACUGCCUCGUGGAGGAAUUCAGGUGUGU